rnacentral:SRP_RNA from 1 species
CGGAGGGUAGGACCGGGGAACUAGCCCUGCCCUAUCACCCUUAACGGGCUAUAAAGGGGGUCAGCAACCUCAAGGGAGCUGGUGAAGCGGGCUGUAAGGCGCUCAGCAAUCCGUUGAAGGCCUGCCUCAUGGGGCUGGCGGUUGUGGCCUUCACCUCUGUAGGGAGGUGAAGGAGCAUUCACUAGGUGAACCUGGCCAGGCCCGGGAGGGAGCAACCUAAAUCUGGACGUUCAGCGCUCAUGUGUAACGGGCUCGAGGAGGGCUAAGCGUAGCUGCAGGUCGAUUAGCCUGCGACCUUGAGGAGCCUCCG